rnacentral:tRNA from 1 species
AAUAAAAUGCCUGAGUAAAAAGGAUUAUCUUGAUAGGAUAAAUUAUGUGGGACAAAACACUUUUAUUA